rnacentral:tRNA from 1 species
GCCCUUGUGGUGAAAUUGGUAGACACGUCAGAUUUAGGAUCUGGUGCGAGAGCAUAUCGGUUCGAGUCCGAUCAAGGGCA